GUACAUUAUUGGUGACGCCGUCGUC
rnacentral:piRNA from 1 species